rnacentral:rRNA from 1 species
AUACGGAGGAUGCAAGCGUUAUCCGGAUUUAUUGGGUAUAAAGGGAGCGUAGGCGGCCAUUUAAGUCAGCGGUUAAAUCGUGGGGCUCAACCCCAUUCUGCCGUUGAUACUGGGUGGCUUGAUUGCGGUCGAGGUUGGCGGAAUUCGUUGUGUAGCGGUGAAAUGCAUAGAGAUGACGAAGAACACCGAUUGCGUAGGCAGCUGACCAGACCGCAAAUGACGCUCAUGCACGAAAGUGCGGGGAUCGAACAGGAUUAGAUACCCUGGUAGUCCGCACAGUAAACGAUGAAUACUUGUUUUCGGCGAUAUAAUGUCGGAGGCAAAGCGAAAGCGAUAAGUAUUCCACCUGGGGAGUACGCCGGCAACGGUGAAACUCAAAGGAAUUGGCGGGG